rnacentral:rRNA from 1 species
AGAGUGAACGCUGGCGGCAGGCCUAACACAUGCAAGUCGAACGGCAGCACAGAGGAGCUUGCUCCUUGGGUGGCGAGUGGCGGACGGGUGAGGAAUACGUCGGAAUCUGCCUAUUUGUGGGGGAUAACGUAGGGAAACUUACGCUAAUACCGCAUACGACCUACGGGUGAAAGCGGAGGACCUUCGGGCUUCGCGCAGAUAGAUGAGCCGACGUCGGAUUAGCUAGUUGGCGGGGUAAAGGCCCACCAAGGCGACGAUCCGUAGCUGGUCUGAGAGGAUGAUCAGCCACACUGGAACUGAGACACGGUCCAGACUCCUACGGGAGCAGCAGUGGGGAAUAUUGGACAAUGGGGCGCAAAGGCCUGAU